rnacentral:rRNA from 1 species
UACAGAGGUCUCAAGCGUUGUUCGGAUUCAUUGGGCGUAAAGGGUGCGCAGGCGGCGCGGUAAGUCGGGUGUGAAAUCUUGGAGCUUAACUCCGAAACUGCAUUCGAUACUGCCGUGCUUGAGGACUGGAAAGGAGACUGGAAUUUACGGUGUAGCGGUGAAAUGCGUAGAUAUCGUAAGGAAGACCAGUGGCGAAGGCGGGUCUCUGGACAGUUCCUGACGCUGAGGCACGAAGGUCAGGGGAGCAAACGGG